AAAGGAGGCUGAUAUGAUGUCGUAAUGACAUAAUGGAAGGAAACAGAGAAUUCAGGUUGCUGAGAGGCCAGGAAGACUUCGUACGGAAGUGACAUUUGAAUGGAGCUUAUGGGAAAACCAGGAUUUCUUUAGGCAGAGGGAGGAGGGGAGAGCACGUAGACAGCAAGUACGACAUAUGAAGACAGAAGGGAAUCCUCAUGGAAAAUCUAGGAUCUCUGGAGAAGUAGACGGAAGUGAGCCUGUGAAGUCUGGUGGGAGCCAGAUUGUCAAGAGCUUGGAUAUUAAGCUAAAGAAUUUGGACUCUUUACCUCAAAAUGAACAUCUGUUAUUUAAGUGUACAAUUUGGAAAGAGCCACCCUAAACUUACAACAGUCCCUUAGGAAUAGGCAACCAUGGCGCAGGAGAAAGAGCCCUGGAUUUGCAGCUCAGAGGCCCACAUUCCAGGCACAGAAAGAGGUAUUUUGGUGGAGAAUAGACAAAGGGAGGCAGGUACCACCAGGAAGCUGAAAAUAAUUUUCUGUGAUGGAACAUUAGAUACCACAGGGAGAUGACAUGAGGAGGGAGAAGCCAGUAGUGUACUGGGAAAUGUUUUAACAGCCAGAUCUCUGGGAAAAAAUAUAUAAAUAUAUCAAGCCAACAAAGAUCCCCAAUUUAUAGCAUUUGCCAAUAUCCGUGGUGUAAAUGCUGCUACCCUGAUAUCAAGCAACUGACAGGACACCACUAAACAUUCUACUAAGCUGGGAAGAGAUCUUUCUUGGCCCCUUGCAAGCUGGUAGGACCCACUUUCAGCAACUACUGGAGAAAGCUCAGCCCUAAAGGACUGUGGUUGAAUAUAAAUGAAUGAGCUACACUUAAGAUAUAGACAGAUAAAGUCACCCAUACACACAGGUAUGGGGUUAUUCACGGAGAGCUGUCAUAACUUGUAAAUAGAGCAUAGGGCUUGGGAUCGGGGUUUCAAGUGUUGGGUGGGGAACUGUAUCUAUUGCUGAAUAACAAAUUAUCACAAACUUAGAAACUGAAAACAACUAUUCCUGGAAUAAA